rnacentral:rRNA from 1 species
GACGAACGCUGGCGGCGUGCUUAACACAUGCAAGUCGAACGGAAAGGCCCUGCUCUAGUGGGGUGCGCGAGUGGCGAACGGGUGAGUAACACGUGAGUAACCUGACCUUGACUUUGGGAUAAUUUCAGUAAACUGGGGCUAAUACCGGAUAGGAGCUCCUGCUGCCUGGUGGGGGCUGGAAAGUUUGGGCGGUUGGGGAUGGACUGGCGGCUUAUCAGCCGGUUGGUGGGGUAGUGGCUUACCAGGGCGUUGACGGGUAGCCGGCCUGAGAGGGUGACGGGCAACAUUGGGGCUGAGGUAAGACCGAGAAGCCUACGGGGGGCAGCAGUGGUGAAUAUUGCACAGUGGGCGGAAGCCUGAUGAAGCAACGCCGCGUGCGGGAUGACGGCCGUCGGGGUGUAAACCGCUUUCGCCUGUGACGAAGCGUGAGUGACGGUAAUGGGUAAAGAAGCACCGGCUAACUACGUG